CUAGUCUGCUAGACCCCUUCUUCGAGCACGAAACCAAAACAAGUACACACGGGCCGCCUGGCAGCGCCGUCCCCGUCCCUGCGCCGCCGUCGCGGCCGCCGCAGCUCACCGGAGUAGUAGCAGUAGUAGGGGGGAGACAAGCGUCGCCGGAUGGGGGUCCUGGGCGACUGCCCGGGGUUGUGCUUCUGCUCCGGCGGGGCUAAGCUGGAGCGGAUCAAGUCCACCCUCCUCGCCGCAAAGGGCGCCGCCGUCGCUACUGUAUCCUUCCCCGGCGCCGGCUGUGGCGGUAGCGGAGGAGGAGGAACUGGAGGCAAAGCCGGGAGUGGGUUCCUCAUCCACCGCGGCCUCCUGCUCACCACGCACGGCACCAUCCCCUCGGCCGCCGCGGCAGGCGCCGCCGAGGUCCGGCUCAGCCACGGCCGCCUCCUAGCCCGCCUGGUGCCGCAGAGAUUCUUUAUUACCAGCCCCAUUCUUGACCUUACAAUAGUUGGUCUUGAUGUCGUGGAUGAUGACUCGAGUUCACAUGGGCAACAGCCACAUUUCUUGAAAACUUGCUUGAACCCCAGCUUGGACCUUGGCAGUACAGUCUUGCUCCUGGGCCACAACAGAAGGGAUUUGGCUGUAGGCGAGGGGAAGGUUGUAAUAGCUACAGACAACCUUAUAAAGUUCUCAACUGAUGAAGUCUUAUGGUAUCCUGGAUGUGCUGGGUUUGAUAUGCACGGAAAUCUAGCUUUUAUGGUGUGUGAUCCCAUGAAGCUUUCACCUUCUACACCCACAGGGUAUGCUUCCGCAUCAUCAACUGGGCUCCUUGCAUCAAGGAAGGAUAUGCCAACACAGUUUGGGAUCCCUAUUCCUGCAGUAUGUGAAUGGCUAAAACAGCACUGGAACGGUAGCUUAGAAGAUGUUAGCAAGCCAAUGAUGACUCCUGCACGAUUGACAUCCUCUGGAGAACGAAGUGGGCGUUCUUCUCUUGGUCAUCUUCGUAAUAUUAAAACCACGGAGCAAGAGGGUGGCAAUGUCUUGUCAUCAUCACAGAUACCACCAAGACCAACAUGGCAGCAUGGAUCAUGCAGUUCAGCAUCUGCCAAGAUUUCAUAUGGUGAGAAGGAUUCGAUUGCCUCACAUUCUUUCCAGGAUCAGCAUGAGCUGACCUCGAAGAUGUACAGACCUAAGAACGAGCAAGCUGCUUCAUGUAUGGAUAUUAACUUUCCUCCAGGGCAUCCAAGAUCUAUUCACCUACCGCUUCCCCUAAAGCAAAUGAUGCCUGAUGAGAAUAUGAUUGAGAUGAACAGGCCAGCUCCACACGAGACCCAUCCAUCUAAUGUGGGGAUCAACUGUGAUGCUCUUCACAAUGUUGCUUACCAGGAAAAUUGCUGGAGUGAGGUGCAGUCCAGUUCCUCUCCACUUGAGAUAUCCGAAUUAGGAGAUGAGAGGGACGGUUUUAGCAGUGGAGAGGAGACAAUGUACUCAGCUGAAACAAGGGAAAGCCGGAACAUUCCAAGUCCAAAAGAAAAGAAGACUGAUAUAGUUGGUAGAUCACAGAGUUUUGUGAAUCGUAGCAGAUGGGACUCACCUAAAAGUGUUGAAUCUUCGAAAGGGGUCCCCUCGAGGUCACACACCUUCAUUCCUUUGAGAAAACCGCAUUUGCAGGCUGCAGCCAUUUCACAGAAGAGCCAAGAUUUUUUCAGCCCUACCGUUUCCUCCAACAUGAAGAAGAGGAACUUGUCCCAAAUCCCCAUGAAACCACGGCAGAGUGCUCAAGUUACGUCCAAGUGGAUCAUCUGAUAUAAUCACCUGUUCCCGGAAUCAUGCAAAGAUAUCACGUCAUUCGGUUUACUCAGUUCCACGCGAUAUUUCAUAGUUGUAUCGUGUGACUCUUUAGCGAUUCUUUUUUCGUUGUAACAUCAGGUAGAAAAUGCUCUUCUUUACCCUGUAAUUGUUUACUUUUAGGGGUAAAACGAAUUGCCAUUACAGAAUACAGUGUUUUCCCCCAGACUGGUAGUAGUUGAGGUUGCAGUGAGCACCCGCGAGUUUUGAUCUGCCCAGGUGUCUGUGCACAGGUAUCUCUAUAGAUCCUGGAUUGCUCAUGAAGCUCUGCAAUGCAGACCUGAAUGAUGUUCUGGGGACGAACGCAAGCACAUUUCAGUUUCAUUCCUUCCGUUGCACUGUCUGAUCCCCAGGCCCUCUGUGAGUGAUGAAGCAAAUCAUCACGGGUUAGCUGCACUCUGAGAUGGAUCACCCUUUGAAGCCUUAAAGCCAUUCUAUCUGGUACAGAGCAGAAGCGUAUAUGUGAACUUGAUCACAAGUUUAUGACAUCGAUUCUCCGUUUGGAACACGGGAUUUUUUUUUUUCAGUCCUGAUGAAGCUGACAACCCCUUUGAAUGCUCUUAGUCCUCUUG